UACGUAGGGUGCGAGCGUUGUCCGGAAUUACUGGGCGUAAAGGGUUCGUAGGUGGCCAACUCAGUCAGACGUGAAAUCCCUCAGCUCAACUGGGGAACUGCGUCUGAUACUAGAUGGCUCGAGUGCAGGAGAGGAACGCGGAAUUCCAGGUGUAGAGGUGAAAUUCGUAGAUAUUCGCAAGAACACCAGUGGCGAAGGCGGCUUACUGGACCGGUUCUGACGCUGAGGCGGCGAAAGCGUGGGGAGCAAACAGG
rnacentral:rRNA from 1 species